UGAAGGUCUGACUGCAGCGACCUCCUGCACAGCUCACACCACCAAAUCUCAGUCCUCCGAGAAGAACCCGAGGGCAGGUGAGACGUUCAUUCAGCUCUCUGCUGUCUUUCAGGCUUGAUCCGGCUCCCACUGAGAGAUAUGAAAUUGCUUCAACAGAAACAGGACCUGACCUUAACCGAGAGACGAGCCAGGACCUGGAGCAGCCCCAGCGCGUGACACAGGCACAGACAUGCCAGCACCACCUCCUCACCCUGCCCUGCUUUGUGCUGCAGUCAGUCCCGGGAGAAAAUAGAAAUCCAUCACAGUGAGCAGAGCAGAGGCUUGGCUCGGUAGCGUCAUUUAAUGCCUGAUAAUCCCUCAUCCCAAUUUGCUUGAAUUUAUUAGGUGUCCCUGGAAACAGGUGUGAUGGAAAUACCAUGGAAACGUGAGACAAGUGGAGCCAUCAGUUCACAGCCUCUCCGGCAGCAGUUUCAUCAGGGAGAGCAGAGCUGACAUCACGUGGGCACCUCCCUUUCCUCUCUCCAUCUUCAUGUCGAGAGCCCAAAGACAGCCCCGCGCCGAGCCUAGGGGGCACUUUUCAUCAGGACUGGAGUGGGAAUUGUGUCCACAACUGUCGGUGCCAACAGUCAUCCCAAAGUAACCCCAAUGUGGGCAGAAAGGGGCAGAUUAAACUGCCUGAGAUAAGCUGCUUGCGUCUGGAGACACCCAGUGGGGUGUUGCUUCCCUCUCCCCAGCCCUCACGCUUCAGCAGUGCCACUUGGCUCAGAUAAUUUACUUUUAAUAGUCUGGUUACAAAUGAGAUUGCAAAGGAAGCACGUGAUUCUGCACUGGGAUUUCUGAGUCACAUUCUCAUUUCCCCCUCGUGCCUCCUAGGCCUCUAAUAAACUACAAAGAGACAUUAAGAAAACAAUAAGAACUCUUUAUCUAUUGAGACUGGGGAACAGGAACAGUGAGCCAGCAGUAAUGGAUUCUGUGUAUCUGCAGUACGUCCCUGCAGCAGCGACCGAACGAGGGGAACGGGAAGUUCGAGUGCUCAGGACAUGGAGAGCCCGGAUCAGCUGGCCAGCAGAGGGUAGAAAGCAGGUUUCUGCAGCGACCCACGAAACGUGUUCUCCCUGCUUGACCCAUCCCACCGCGUUUCUGACUGCGCUUGGACGUGGUGGAGGUUGGUAGCAUUGAGCUCAGAUUCCAGUCAAGAAAUUUGAAAUUGGAUUUGAGG